GCGGCGGACGGGUGAGUAAUGCAUAGGAAUCUGCCCGAUAGUGGGGGAUAACCUGGGGAAACCCAGGCUAAUACCGCAUACGUCCUACGGGAGAAAGGGGGCUUCGGCUCCCGCUAUUGGAUGAGCCUAUGUCGGAUUAGCUAGUUGGUAAGGUAAUGGCUUACCAAGGCAACGAUCCGUACCUGGUCUGAGAGGAUGAUCAGCCACAUCGGGACUGAGACACGGCCCGAACUCCUACGGGAGGCAGCAGUGGGGAAUAUUGGACAAUGGGGGCAACCCUGAUCCAGCCAUGCCGCGUGUGUGAAGAAGGCCCUCGGGUUGUAAAGCACUUUCAGCGAGGAAGAACGCCUAUCGGUUAAUACCCGGUAGGAAAGACAUCACUCGCAGAAAAAGCACCGGCUAACUCCGUGCCAGCAGCCGCGGUAAUACGGAGGGUGCAAGCGUUAAUCGGAAUUACUGGGCGUAAAGCGCGCGUAGGUGGCUUGAUAAGCCGGUUGUGAAAGCCCCGGGCUCAACCUGGGAACGGCAUCCGGAACUGUCAGGCUAGAGUGCAGGAGAGGAAGGUAGAAUUCCCGGUGUA
rnacentral:rRNA from 1 species